GAGAGGGAGCAGACGUUAGAUACACGGAGAGGUGGUGUUUGAAGGGCGCGCGUAUGCAGCAGCCUUAUUUAACCUGGAUUUUCUCUCAAGACGGUGACACGUGCCAGUGGAAGCUUAGUGGCUGUCGGGAGGUGCUCGUGAGGGCCAGAAACACUUAUAAUAUUGACAAGUGACCCACCAGCUGCUUGGCCACCUGGCGGACUGCUCACAGACGCCAUGGUGCAAUAGGAGACUACCCCAUCCCGUGCCUCCCGCCCUGCCCCACCCAGACACCAUGGCCCAGCAGCGACACCAUUCCACCUGCUACAUGACGCUGGCUGACGCACUCCUGACGUGGCAGCGACAGGAGGCGGAGGGCAGGAGCAAGAGUCGGAUGGUGAAGAAAGGCGUGAUGGCGGAGGUGGUGGCUGUGGAGGGUGUUCGUGCAGGGUACCUCGGCAGGGUCUAGUGUGCAGGUUUGCAGUAAACCUCCCUGAAGGUUCCAGAGCUGCUCAGCAAGUGCCCAGUCCAGGCUGUCACAAGACUGUGUGAUGGUGGACCUUCCAAUGAUACUCACUGAAAACAGCUGUGCACUGCCACUCACAGGAAAUGACUACCCCAUCCCCUGCCUCCCUGCCCUGCUCCACCCAGAUGCCAUGGCCCGGCAGCGACACCAUUCCACCUGCUACACGACGCUGGCUGACGCACUCCUGACAUGGCAGUGACAGGAGGCGGAGGGCAGGAGCAAGAGUCGGAUGGUGAAGAAAGGCGUGAUGGCGGAGGUGGUGGCUGUGGAGGGUGUUCAUGCAGGGUACCUCGGCAGGGUCUAGGUUUGCAGUAAACCUCCCCGAAGGUUCCAGAGCUGGUCUGCAGGUGCCCAGUCCAGGCUGUCACAAGACUGUGUGAUGGUGGACCUUCCAAUGAUACUCACUGAAAACAGCUGUGCACUGCCACUCACAGGAAAUGGGCCUGAUGUGAAGGUGUCUGCAUCCAGUGUUUGGUGUCCUCUGUGCCUGCCUGGUGGUGCCUCAUUGCAGGGCCUGAUGUGAAGGUGUCUGCAUCCAGUGGUGGGUGUCCUCUGUGCCUGGUGGUGGUGCCUCAUUGCAGGGCUGAUGUGAAGGUGUCUGCAGCCAGUGGUGGGCGUCCUCUGUGCCUGGUGGUGGUGCCUCAUUGCAGGGCUGAUGUGAAGGUGUCUGCAGCCAAUGGUGGGUGUCCUCUGUGCCUGGUGGUGCCUCAUUGCAGGGCUGAUGUGAAGGUGUCUGCAGCCAGUGGUGGGUGUCCUCUGUGCCUGGUGGUGCAGCCUGAUGAGUUGCCUGCUUCAGUGUAAAUCUUGCAAGCCAGAUCUGCCAGCUGUCUCCAGUGUAGUAGUCUAGGGUGCUUUGCUUUGUGUCUUUGGCAAUAAAUAAAUUUGUGAGCAUCAUUCUCAUGUGAAUUAUAUAUAGUUUGAUAAAAUUACAGAAUGUGCUUUGUGCUUGUGUAAACUAAAUUUAUAUAUUGGUGGUAAACAAUUCAUGCAUCCCCAAGUAAAUAAAAAUAAAAUAAAAUAAAUAGGACCCAAAACAAUAGAUCAUCCUCUGGUCAAAAAAAAGCCAGGAUUGGCUGGCCUAUUUUUGGUCAAGUUUAAGGUGAAACUUGCACACAGAAGCCUUGUCCGAGCGA